CUGUCACUUCCCCUCGCGCUUCCCGCUCAGGAGAGCCAUGGUAAAAAAACAUGAAAUAUCUUUAAUGGAAUUCUGAUCCUAACCAAGCAGUUAAAAAUGGAUAUGAAUAUUAUUUUCUCCAGUGAGUCACAUAUGAAGCUUCUAAAGAUCAUCUAACACAGUGAAAUGCUGCUACUGCUUUUGAGAAUGGAUUCCCUGCAAGAAUGACCCCUUCCCCCCCCCUCCCAGACAUCCC
rnacentral:lncRNA from 1 species